rnacentral:lncRNA from 1 species
CUGCUCUAGGCCUGGGGAGAGAUGACUCCACUAGAGGUGUCCUCGAGCUGCUCCAGGCCUGGAGAGAUGACUCCUACAGAGGUGUCCUCGAGCUGCUCCGGCCUGGAGAGAUGACUCCACUAGAGGUGUCCUCGAGCUGCUCCAGGCCUGGAGAGAUGACUCUACUAGAGGUGUCCUCGAGCUGCUCCAGGCCUGGAGAGAUGACUCCACUAGAGGUGUCCUCGAGCUGCCCAGGCCUGGAGAGAUGACUCUACUAGAGGUGCCUCGAGCUGCUCCAGGCCAAUCACUUUUUGACAGCAUCCCUUUUGAUUUAAACCAACGUUCCGCCCAUCGAAGAAGAGGUCAGGAAGUGACGUUUGGGACCUGAGCAAGCCAAAACAUUCAGGGAUAAAGGUCCUCAAAGUUGACCCGUUUUGCAUACCCCACCAUACCACAAGACAUCACUGGAAAAAAUGUAUGGUUGAGAUGAUAUAAUUUAAGAGCUUACAAACAGGGUUAUCAUACGAUUUUAAUAAUUUCUUGAAAAAAAAUAUGUUUUAAUAAAAAUGUGGACAUUAUUUAAUGCCUUAAUAUAAAUUAUCUAACAAAAUGUAAACUCUUUUCAAUCUGCAUGUUAUAGCUUAGACCUAUUUCACAUCAUCUGAGGUUGUGUUGUCCAUCAGUUGAGACACAGAAUGGGUGUCAUACAUUCUAAUAGGUCAACUUUGAGCACCUUUAUGUCUUCGAUGUUUUUGCAUUCAGGUCCCGAAAGUCACUUUCGACCACUUCUACAAUGGGUGACUAUGUAUGGAAGGUUUUGUUCAAAUCGAAAGGGAUGCUAUCAAAAGGUCAUCGAAAUCAAAUGGAUUUCCCAGAUUCCAGAUGGUGACUCAGUGGAGACCAGGGCAGGGACAGAGACGUGGAGACAUGGGCAGGGACAGAGACGUGGAGCAGCGUGGAGACCAGGGCAGGGACAGAGCCGUGGAGCAGCGUGGAGACCAGGGCAGGGACAGAGACGUGGAGCAGCGUGGAGA